CUGGUAGUAGGAUUCGCUGCAGUAACGCUGGUUGUGGAAUGUAAUAAAAUGACGGAGAAGAGAAAAACGGACAUAAGAUCCUUUUUCAGUACACCAAAACGCAAAAUGAAGGCAACAGAGCUAGCCUACAUUCCCAACAGCAGAUGAAGGCAACAGAGCUAGCCUACAUUCCCAACAUUAAUUAGUGAAGUACAGUGUUGGGAAGCAUCUUACCCAAACUAUUUUUGGGGGGCAAAAAAUUAUUGCUGGGAGGCAAUGGCCCUGUGUCUCCGGGUCUGUAUACAUAAAGGAAUAAUACAUAAAAGGCAACAAUACAUAAUAUAAUACAAUAUUACAUAUAAUACAUAGAGGGCAAGACUAAAAUGGAAAACACUUAAGACAACUAAAGGUAUGUAAAAUCAAAGUAAUAUAAUAAGAAGUUAAGAGAAAUUGAAUAAAACCACCAACAGAUUAAAACAGUAAGAGGACGAUAAAAAUAAUUAAAGAGUUGACUUGACAAAAACCAAGGGACAACCUCAGACUGAACUAAAAGCCAGAGAAAAAGGUGUGUCUUUAAAUUGUAUUUAAAAUUGCAAUGGUGGAAUGGGACUUAUUGUGGGAUGGGAGACUAUUCCAGAGCAUGGGAACAGAAACUGACAAAACUAGGCUUACCUCAUCCUUCCUGGAGAGUGGGUUCUUACUUCUUCCAAAUAUACCAAAUAGUUUCUUUUGAAAGACCAAACAUCUUGCCCAUGUCUAUGAUCUUGUGUUUUAAUCCUAAAUAUAAUUGAUACAACUGUUCUUUACUCUUAUUUACUCUAUUUCCAUGACAUUAAUGUUCACAGUAGCAGAACUACUGAAAAUGAUGCAUAAAAGAACAAAUUGGUGCAUAGAAAUUCACCAGAACGCAGGGAAUGAAGCAUGUGACACUCUCAUUGAGGAGGAGCCCCAGACCCCACUUAAUUUGUGUCCCCCAGGUUUGGGGCCGCUGGCAAGGUGUCCCUUAUUUUCCCACAUUGAAGGUGGCAACCCUAAUCUAACCCCACGGCACGACUGACUAGAUAUGUUGUUGACUUGCACAGCUGCAUUUGGUUCAUUCAGUAUGAGUCUUGUACACCUAGCUAGUGUUAGUGGUUAUACAAUUGUGCUCAGAAGUUUGCACAUACUGGCAGAAAUUGUGCAAUGUUGCCAUUGAUUUUGAAAAUAUGCGUGGUCAUGCAAAAAAUGCUCUUUUAUUUAAGGAUAGUGAUCAUAUGAAGCCAUUUAUUAUCACAUAGUUGUUUGGCUCCUUUUUAAAUCAGAAUGAUAACAGAAAUCACCCAAAUGGCCCUGAUCGAAAGUUGACAUACCCUUGAAUGUUUGGCCUUGUUACAGACACAAAAGGUGACACGCACAGGUUAAAAUGGCAAUUAAAGGUUACUUUCCCACACCUGUGGCUUUUUAAAUUGCAAUUAGUGUUGAAAAAGGUGAAGGUCCAGGAGUGGCCAUCACAGUCUCCUGACCUUAAUAUCAUCAAGCCACUCUGGGGAGAUCACAAACGUGCAGUUCAUGCAAGACGAACAAAGACUUAUCUGGAGGCAUUUUGCCAAGACAAAUGGGCAACUAUACCGCCUGCAAGAAUUCCGGGCCUCAUAGACAACUAUUACAAAAGACUGCACGCUAACAUUGAUGCUAAAGGGGGCAAUACACAGUAUUAAGAACUAAGGUUAUGCAGACUUUUGAACAGGGGUCAUUCCAUUUUGUUCUUUAUUGCCAUGUUUUGUUAUAUGAUUGUGCCAGUCUGUUAUAAACUAUAGUUGAAUAUGAAUUCUGUAAGAAAUAAAAUAAAUGUGUUUUGCCUGUUCACUCAUGAUUUCUUUAAAAAUGGUACAUAUAUUACCAAUUCUCCAAGGGUAUGCAAACUUUUGAGCACAACUGUAAUUGCUCAUUGACAUUAGUGAAUGGAGGAUGACAACAGGCAUUCUGAAAGCAAAGUUUCUAUUUUUGGAUACAUUUCUUUAGGAAACAUUAUUUCUUAAGACAACAG
ensembl:lncRNA